ACCCUCUGUGGUGUAGUUGAUAGCGCCUUGGCUUAUAAAUUAAAAGUCCCAGGUUCAAGUCCCGUUAGGGGUA